rnacentral:rRNA from 1 species
CCUACGGGUCGCACCAGUGGGGAAUAUUGCACAAUGGGCGCAAGCCUGAUGCAGCCAUGCCGCGUGUGUGAAGAAGGCCUUCGGGUUGUAAAGCACUUUCAGCGGGGAGGAAGGCGAUAAGGUUAAUAACCUUGUCGAUUGACAUUACCCGCAGAAGAAGCACCGGCUAACUCCGUGCCAGCAGCCGCGGUAAUACGAAGGGUGCAAGCGUUAAUCGGAAUUACUGGGCGUAAAGCGCACGCAGGCGGUCUGUCAAGUCGGAUGUGAAAUCCCCGGGCUCAACCUGGGAACUGCAUUCGAAACUGGCAGGCUAGAGUCUUGUAGAGGGGGGUAGAAUUCCAGGUGUAGCGGUGAAAUGCGUAGAGAUCUGGAGGAAUACCGGUGGCGAAGGCGGCCCCCUGGACAAAGACUGACGCUCAGGUGCGAAAGCGUGGGGAGCAAACAGGAUUAGAUACCCGUGUAGUC